GCGGGCGUAGUUCAAUGGUAGAACAUCAGCCUUCCAAGCUGAAUACGUGGGUUCGAUUCCCAUCGCCCGCUCCA
rnacentral:tRNA from 1 species